CAAAUCUUAGCGGUGGAUCACUCGGUUCGUGGAUCGAUGAAGAACGCAGCUAGCUGCGAUAAAUAGUGCGAAUUGCAGACACAUUGAGCACUAACAUUUCGAACGCACAUUGCGCCAUCGGGUUCAUUCCCGUUGGCACGUCUGGCUGAGGGUCAGA
rnacentral:rRNA from 1 species